GCCAGGCGCGGUGGCGCGUGCCUGUAGUCCCAGCUACUCAGGAGGCUGAGGUUGGAGGAUUGCUUGAGUCCAGGAAUUCUGGGCUGUAGUGUGCUAUGCUGAUUGGGCGUCUGCACUAAGUUUGGCAUCAAUAUGGUGACCUCCCGGGAUCGAGGGACCACCAGGUUGCCUAAGGAGGGAUGAAUCAGCCCAGCUUGGAAACAGAGCAGGUCAAAACUCCUGUGCUGAUCAGUAGAGGGACUGCACCUGUGAAUAGCCACUGCAGUUCAACUUGGGCAACAUAGCAAGACCCUGUUUCU
rnacentral:SRP_RNA from 1 species